rnacentral:misc_RNA from 1 species
GUGAAGAACGUAGCGAAAUGCGAUAAGUAAUGUGAAUUGCAGAACUCAGUGAAUCAUCGAAUCUUUGAACGCACAUUGCGCCCCCUGGUAUUCCGGGGGGCAUGCCUGUCCGAGCGUCAUUGCUGCCCUCAAGCACGGCUUGUGUGUUGGGCCUCCGUCCUCCUCCCGGGGGACGGGCCCGAAAGGCAGCGGCGGCACCGCGUCCGGUCCUCGAGCGUAUGGGGCUUCGUCACCCGCUCUUGUAGGCCCGGCCGGCGCUUGCCGACACAUCAAUCUUUUUUCCAGGUUGACCUCGGAUCAGGUAGGGAUACCCGCUGAACUUAAGCAUAUCAAUAAGCGGAGGA